rnacentral:misc_RNA from 1 species
UACAGAGAGUGCAAGCGUUAAUCGGAAUUACUGGGCGUAAAGCGCGCGUAGGUGGAUACUUAAGUCGAAUGUGAAAUCCCUGGGCUUAACCUAGGAAUUGCAUUCGAUACUGGGUAUCUCGAGUGUGGUAGAGGGAAGUGGAAUUUCCGGUGUAGCGGUGAAAUGCGUAGAUAUCGGAAAGAACACCAGUGGCGAAGGCGGCUUCCUGGACCAACACUGACACUGAGGUGCGAAAGCGUGGGGAGCAAACAGG